CAGUCAUUGUCAGGUAAUAUAUUCGUACGGAUGUUCUAGAAGAAUUAUAGUGUCGCGAUGUAUAUAUGGACUAUUUUUGCAAUGUUUUGUUAUCCUUUAUUUAUUCCAACUAAUGGUAAAUAUUGUUAUGAUACCUACCCAAUGGGAAAAAGAUAUGAGACCUGUAUAGAUGAUUCAGGAACACACUAUGCAAUAAUCUUCUGUGCUGUUCUCGGAAUUCCCGUAGUUGCAAUGAUAAUUAUAUAUUGUAUACGUGCAAUAUAUAGGACCAUGAGAAGAAAUUGAUUAGACAGUGAUACGGAUAGAGUGGAAGACCCCUUCAACAACAAAAAGAACAGAGGCAAUUAUUUUUGUUGCAAUAACAUUUGUUAAUAAUUUAUUCUUACAUACUUUAAGAUUAUAUGUAGAUAUUUUUAAAUUAUAAUUCUCUUGUUUUGUGGACAAUUGACAGUGUACUCUCUCAAGUAAACUUCAUUGCAACACUA